ACUCCUACGGGAGGCAGCAGUCGAGAAUCAUUCACAAUGGGGGAAANCCUGAUGGUGCAACGCCGCGUGGAGGAUGAAGGCCUUAGGGUCGUAAACUCCUGUCAUAAUAGAGUAAGGCAUAUUGGGAAUAAUACCCUGGUAUGUUUGCAUAGUAUNUAAGAGGCAAGGGACGGCUAACUCC
rnacentral:rRNA from 1 species